rnacentral:lncRNA from 1 species
ACCAUAUAGACAUAAAAUCACAACUUAUUAUUUUCAUCUUCAUCAUUGGGUUUUGCAUAUGUAGCAGUAAAAGUGUCAUCUACGGGGCAUUUUGUUGGAAGAGGAACUCCACACAAAGAUGGAUUCUCCAUAUAAAUGGAUGAAUCAACGAGUGUUUGGAGUUGAUUGCCCAAAGGAAUUCUCCCCACCAAGUUUGUCUUAAGACAAAUUCAAGUGGGACAAAAAUGUUAAGGAUGCAAGGUUUUGAAGAAUAUGUCUUGAAAGAUGGUUGUGCAAGAGAUCAAGAGAUUCGAGCACACGCAAAUUUCCAACGUUGGAGGGGAUGUCACCUGUCAAUUGAUUCCUCAACAAGUUCAAGGUACCCAAUACAAUGAGGCUACCUAUUUCUUGAGGGAUUUCACCUUCCAGAUAAAUAAAUACAUAUACGAACUUGGUACCAAGUUUUCAUUGGCAAACGAGCCAACUUCAAUUCAAUAAUCGCCAGUGUUAACUUAUCUUUGAUCCAUCAAAGAUUUCACAAUUGGUGGGGAUGUAUGUGUCUCCUAGCCGAAGCAGAGAAAACCCAUAUAUGUUUGAAGGUAUCUUUCCCAUAAAUGUCGUCACCAAGAUCAAUCAUUCGCAAUGAGGAGAAAUUUUGCAAGGAGAAAGGAAUUUUAUCCCCAAAAUCGUUUUUGUUCAUCUUCGAAUUCAUAUUUGUUAUGACACAAUCCAUUAAAAAAAAAAAAAAAAAAACUCAAUGGUACAUUUAGUUUUUGUUUUUAUUUUUCACACAACACAGUCAAGGGGACGAGACGAGUUUUCCACCUCAGAAUGCAUCUCCAUACAAAGAUUAAAACUAGAGAAAACAAUACCAAACAAAC